rnacentral:rRNA from 1 species
UACGUAGGUGGCGAGCGUUAUCCGGAUUUACUGGGUGUAAAGGGCGCGUAGGCGGGAUUGCAAGUCAGAUGUGAAAACUAUGGGCUCAACCCAUAGCCUGCAUUUGAAACUGUAGUUCUUGAGUGCUGGAGAGGCAAUCGGAAUUCCGUGUGUAGCGGUGAAAUGCGUAGAUAUACGGAGGAACACCAGUGGCGAAGGCGGAUUGCUGGACAGUAACUGACGCUGAGGCGCGAAAGCGUGGGGAGCAAACAGG